GCCUUUGUGGUGUAGUGGUAGAGCACGCGUUCACGGAUAGGAUGAAACGCGGGUUCAAAUCCUGGCAGAGGCC